rfam:Aspergillus glaucus CBS 516.65 unplaced genomic scaffold ASPGLscaffold_9, whole genome shotgun sequence.
ACAUACGACCAUAGGGUGUGGAGAAAAGGGCUUCCCGUCCGCUCAGCCGUACUUAAGCCACACGCCGGCCGGUUAGUAGUUGGGUGGGUGACCACCAGCGAAUCCCGGCUGUUGUAUGUU